CCUACGGGGGGCUGCAGUAAGGAAUAUUGGGCAAUGGGCGGAAGCCUGACCCAGCGACACCGCGUGGAUGAUGAAGGUCUUCGGAUUGUAAAGUUCUAACAAGUAUAAGAAAGCGAGACAUGUUAAGAGCAUGUUGAGUUGAUGAAGGUACUAGAUGAAGUCAUGGCUAACUCUGUGCCAGCAGCCGCGGUAAUACAGAGAUGGCGACCGUUGUUCGGAAUCACUGGGCUUAAAGGGCAUGUAGGUGGAUUUAGAGGUUAAUUGUGAAAUGUAACGGCUUACCCGUUGACUGGCAGUUAAAACCGUGAAUCUAGAGUGAUGUAGGGGAGAGUGGAACUCCUGGUGGAGCGGUGAAAUGCGUUGAUAUCAGGAGGAACGCCGGAGGCGAAAGCGACUCUCUGGACAUUAACUGACACUGAGGUGCGAAAGCUAGGGGAUCAAACAGGAUUAGAUACCCGAGUAGUC
rnacentral:rRNA from 1 species